rnacentral:tRNA from 1 species
GAAACUAUAGUCAAUACAAUAAUGACAUAUAAUUUGCACUUAUAAGGAGUUUUAUACUAGUUUCG